CAGAAAUGGUUUCAAGCCUCUCGAUCAACAGGACAAAAGAUGGCUACCCCAUUGCUGCCAAAUUACAUCUCUUCAAUUCAAGUGACCAACCAGCAAACGCAGCAGAAUACAGCCUCCAAAUGAAGGUUGUUGUCUUCCAAGUAAUUCCAAGACGCUCAAACGUGUAAAAAUCCUUUUAGGGAAUUACUGGCCAAGUCUUGCUCUCACUGUUUUGCUUUCUGUUGAUCAUUCAUUCAGCAUGUAUUAGACACCUCCCGGGUGCCAAGCACUCUGCCAGGCCCAGGGUAUAGAGUGAGGAGAGAGAAGCAAUCUCAUUGCAUGUUUGAUGAAGGAGCCCCCCGCCCCCGGGGCCGGUGGAAAAAGUUAGCCCAACCUAAGUUUGAAUCCCAGUUUAGCCUGUGCGGGUUGUGUAACCUCAGGCAACUUUCCUAAACCCUUUGAGUCACAAUGUCCUCAUGUCUAAAAUGAAGAUGGUAAAACUGACUUCAUAGGAUUGCUUUGAGGAGAAAAGCAGAUAAAAUGUGUAGUAACUAGCCAUGGCAGAGACCGAUACAGAGCCGUUGCUCAGCCAAUGAGUGUUCCUGUGAUUAUAAUUGUUUGAUUUACAUAGCUAGUUCAACCAUCUCUUUUGGGGGAUUAGACUCUGAAUGCACUUUUGGAAAAAAUCAAACGUUUUAUUAUGUGUAUGUGAGUAAUACAAGGUACAAAAUUCAAAGUGUACAAACAUUAGGCGAUGGAAAUGAAAACUUCUUUCUUCCCUUGCUCCUCUGCUGCUCAUUUUCCUCCCCGGAGAUAACUGGUAUAACCAGGAUCUUGUAUAUUUACAGAUUUAAUUAUAUUUCUUGGAGAUAGGUUCAUAACAAUACAUUGGUUCCUGCUGCAUCA